rnacentral:rRNA from 1 species
GACGAACGCUGGCGGCGUGCUUAACACAUGCAAGUCGAACGGUAAGGCCCUUCGGGGUACACGAGUGGCGAACGGGUGAGUAACACGUGGGUGAUCUGCCCUGCGCUUCGGGAUAAGCCUGGGAAACUGGGUCUAAUACCGGAUAGGACCCUGGGAUGCAUGUCCUGGGGUGGAAAGCUUUUGCGGUGUGGGAUGGGCCCGCGGCCUAUCAGCUUGUUGGUGGGGUGAUGGCCUACCAAGGCGACGACGGGUAGCCGGCCUGAGAGGGUGACCGGCAACACUGGGACUGAGAUAUGGCCCAGACUCCUACGGGAGGCAGCAGUGGGGAAUAUUGCACAAUGGGCGCAAGCCUGAUGCAGCGACGCCGCGUGAGGGAUGACGGCCUUCGGGUUGUAAACCUCUUUCAGCACCGACGAAGCGCAAGUGACGGUAGGUGCAGAAGAAGGACCGGCCAACUACGUGCCAGCAGCCGCAGUAA